GGAAAAGUAGCUCAAUCGUCCAAGAGUAUCUGGUAAUGAGUCGCGAAUCAUCCAGAGAGGGUAAGGAAUAGGAUAGAGCGGCGGACAUAUAAUCCGCAGGUUCCGGGUUCGAUUCCCGGCUUUUCCU
rnacentral:tRNA from 1 species